rnacentral:rRNA from 1 species
UACGUAGGGGGCAAGCGUUGUCCGGAAUCAUUGGGCGUAAAGAGCGCGUAGGCGGUCCGGUAAGUCAGCUGUGAAAGUCAAGGGCUCAACCCUUGAAAGCCGGUUGAUACUGUCGGGCUAGAGUCCGGAAGAGGCGAGUGGAAUUCCCGGUGUAGCGGUGAAAUGCGCAGAUAUCGGGAGGAACACCAAUGGCGAAGGCAGCUCGCUGGGACGGUACUGACGCUAAGGCGCGAAAGCGUGGGGAGCAAACAGG